rnacentral:misc_RNA from 1 species
GUGAAUCAUCGAAUUUUUGAACGCAAAUUGCACUCUCUUCGGAGAGUAUGCCUGUUUGAGGGUCAGCCUAAAAAAAAAUCGACAUAGUCGCUGUUUCGCGGUGUCGUUCUUCGGCAAUUGGGUUAUCUUAAACCUUUUUGGUUUAAGCGGCUUAAAAUUUUCUUUACGAUUUCUCGAACGUUUCUAAGUUUUACUUCUUAUACGUUUGAGGUCGAGAUCUUUAUUAGGCGUGGC